AACGAACGCUGGCGGCAUGCCUAACACAUGCAAGUCGAACGAGACCUUCGGGUCUAGUGGCGCACGGGUGCGUAACGCGUGGGAACCUGCCCCUAGGUUCGGAAUAACUCCCCGAAAGGGGUGCUAAUACCGGAUAAUGUUUUCGGACCAAAGAUUUAUCGCCUUUGGAUGGGCCCGCGUUGGAUUAGCUAGUUGGUAGGGUAAAAGCCUACCAAGGCGACGAUCCAUAGCUGGUCUGAGAGGAUGAUCAGCCACACUGGGACUGAGACACGGCCCAGACUCCUACGGGAGGCAGCAGUGGGGAAUAUUGGACAAUGGGCGAAAGCCUGGUCCAGCAAUGCCGCGUGAGUGAUGAAGGCCUUAGGGUUGUAAAGCUCUUUUACCCGGGAUGAUAAUGACAGUACCGGGAGAAUAAGCUCCGGCUAACUCCGUG
rnacentral:rRNA from 1 species